GACGUAGGGGGGCUAGCGUUGUUCGGAAUCACUGGGCGUAAAGGGCGCGUAGGCGGUUCGUUAAGUCGGAUGUGAAAGCCCUCGGCUCAACUGAGGAAGUGCACCCGAAACUGGCGAGCUUGAGUACGAAAAGAGGAUCGCGGAAUUCCCGGUGUAGAGGUGAAAUUCGUAGAUAUCGGGAGGAACACCGGGUGGCGAAGGCGGCGAUCUGGGUCGAUACUGACGCGUGAGGUGCGAAAGCGUGGGGAGCCGAACAGG
rnacentral:rRNA from 1 species